rnacentral:ribozyme from 1 species
CUACGGACUUAAUUGGAUUGAGCCUUGGUAUGGAAACUUACUAAGUAAUCACAUUCAAAGAAACGCUGGAAUUAACAAAAAUGGGCAAUCUUGAGCCAAAUCUUGUUAUCUAAUAACAAAUAAAGGUUCCAAAGAAAAAGGAUAGG